GACGAACGCUGGCGGCGUGCUUAACACAUGCAAGUCGAACGGAAAGGCCCUGCUUGCAGGGUACUCGAGUGGCGAACGGGUGAGUAACACGUGGGUGAUCUGCCCUGCACUUCGGGAUAAGCCUGGGAAACUGGGUCUAAUACCGGAUAGGAGCCAUUUUUAGUGUGAUGGUUGGAAAGUUUUUUCGGUGUAGGAUGAGCUCGCGGCCUAUCAGCUUGUUGGUGGGGUAAUGGCCUACCAAGGCGGCGACGGGUAGCCGGCCUGAGAGGGUGGACGGCCACAUUGGGACUGAGAUACGGCCCAGACUCCUACGGGAGGCAGCAGUGGGGAAUAUUGCACAAUGGGCGCAAGCCUGAUGCAGCGAAGCCGCGGGGGGGAUGACGGCCUUCGGGUUGGAAACUCCUUUCGCUAGGGACGAAGCUUUUUGUGACGGUACCUAGAUAAGAAGCACCGGCUAACUACGUG
rnacentral:rRNA from 1 species